rnacentral:rRNA from 1 species
CACUGCUCUGACGGAUGCUUUUAUUAGACCAAGCCGCUGAGGACUUGAGGGUUCGCUCUCCUGUCUGACUCGUGUAAUGGUGACUCUGGAUAACCAAUUCUGACAAGCGCACGUACUUCUCUUCUGAGCGAGACGGCGCUGCCACUUUCGAGUGUCUGCCUUAUCAGCUAUCAACCGUUCGUUAUGCGCGACCGAUGGCUUUGACGGGUAACGGGGAAUCAGGGUUCGAUUCCGGAGAGGCAGCCUGAGAGACGGCUACCACGUCCAAGGACGGCAGCAGGCACGCAAAUUACCCAAUCCCAGCAAAUGGGGGAGGUAGUGACGAAAUCUAACGAUGCGGGCGCCCUUUCUGGGGCCCCGCAAUCGGAAUGGGCACUUUCUAAACAACCUGUUGAGAACCUACUGAAGGGCAAGUCUGGUGCCAGCAGCCGCGGUAAUUCCAGCUUCAGCAGCAUCUAUUAAAGUUGCUGCGGUUAAAAGGCUCGCAGUUGAAUGUCUGUAUCGAGCGCAGGUCAGGUGGACGUUGGGGCGUGGAAGUACGGGCAGUUGGAUGUCCGCGGGGCCUUCGUGCUCAACGGCUCCUUCGGCUUUUCCACACACCCCCGUCCGUGACAAGCCUCCUCGCUCGGGUACAUAACGGGAAUCGGUCAAACGGAGUGUGGUUGGAGGUUGGGGUGCGUGGCUUCUGUCGCGUGCUUCUUCUUUCGGCUGCGUUAAGCUCCAUCGGUUUCACGGUCACCUUGAGUAAAUCAGAGUGCUCAAAGCAGUCGUAGGGGCCUUGCGCCCUGUGAACAGUCUUGACGGACUGACUUGGUUUUGCAUGGCAUGUCGGAAGACGACGUCGUGUGCUGGCUCAGAGGAUAAAUCAGUGGUACAAGCCAGCCUCGACGUAAUGAUUAAAAGGGACGGUCGAGGGCAUUGGUAUUGCGAGGCGAGAGGUGAAAUUCUGUGACCCCCGCAAGACCUCCUGAAGCGAAAGCGUCUGCCAAGGACGUUUU